rnacentral:rRNA from 1 species
UACGGGGGGGGCAAGCGUUGUUCGGAAUUACUGGGCGUAAAGGGCUCGUAGGCGGUCAAUUAAGUCGGACGUGAAAUCCCUCAGCUUAACUGGGGAACUGCGUCCGAUACUGGAUGGCUUGGAUCUGGGAGAGGGAUGCGGAAUUCCAGGUGUAGCGGUGAAAUGCGUAGAUAUCUGGAGGAACACCGGUGGCGAAGGCGGCAUCCUGGACCAAUAUUGACGCUGAGGAGCGAAAGCCAGGGGAGCAAACGGG